UACGAAGGGUGCGAGCGUUGUUCGGAAUGAUUGGGCGUAAAGGGUUCGUAGGCGGGGUAAAGAGUCGUGUAUCAAAAGUCCGAGCUAAACUUGGGGAAGGUGCAUGAGACAUUUACUCUUGAGCGUGAGAGAGGGUGGCGGAAUUGCUGGUGUAGGAGUGACAUCCGUAGAGAUCAGCAGGAACGCCGGAGGCGAAAGCGGCCACCUGGAUCAGAGCUGACGCUGAGGAACGAAAGCAUGGGGAGCAAACAGG
rnacentral:rRNA from 1 species